CGCGUAGGGGACGAGCGUUGUCCGGAUUCAUUGGGCGUAAAGCGCGCGUAGGCGGCUCGGAAAGUCGGGUGUGAAACCCCGGGGCUCAACCCCGGAACUGCAUCCGAUACUGCGUGGCUAGAGGUAGGUAGGGGAGAUCGGAAUUCCAGGUGUAGCGGUGAAAUGCGUAGAUAUUGGGAGGAACACCAGUGGCGAAGGCGGCUCACUGGACCGGUACUGACGCUGAGGCGCGAAAGCGUGGGGAGCAAACAGG
rnacentral:rRNA from 1 species